GAGCUUGCUCCACCGGAAAAAGAGGAGUGGCGAACGGGUGAGUAACACGUGGGUAACCUGCCCAUCAGAAGGGGAUAACACUUGGAAACAGGUGCUAAUACCGUAUAACAAUCGAAACCGCAUGGUUUUGAUUUGAAAGGCGCUUUCGGGUGUCGCUGAUGGAUGGACCCGCGGUGCAUUAGCUAGUUGGUGAGGUAACGGCUCACCAAGGCCACGAUGCAUAGCCGACCUGAGAGGGUGAUCGGCCACAUUGGGACUGAGACACGGCCCAAACUCCUACGGGAGGCAGCAGUAGGGAAUCUUCGGCAAUGGACGAAAGUCUGACCGAGCAACGCCGCGUGAGUGAAGAAGGUUUUCGGAUCGUAAACUCUGUUGUUAGAGAAGAACAAGGAUGAGAGUAACUGUUCAUCCCUUGACGGUAUCUAACCAGAAAGCCACGGCUAACUACGUGCCAGCAGCCGCGGUAAUACGUAGGUGGCAAGCGUUGUCCGGAUUUAUUGGGCGUAAAGCGAGCGCAAGCGGUUUCUUAAGUCUGAUGUGAAAGCCCCCGGCUCAACCGGGGAGGGUCAUUGGAAACUGGGAGACUUGAGUGCAGAAGAGGAGAGUGGAAUUCCAUGUGUAGCGGUGAAAUGCGUAGAUAUAUGGAGGAACA
rnacentral:rRNA from 1 species